rnacentral:rRNA from 1 species
UGGGGAAUAUUGGACAAUGGGCGCAAGCCUGAUCCAGCAAUGCCGCGUGGAUGAAGAAGGUCUUCGGAUUGUAAAGUCCUUUCGGCGGGGACGAUGAUGACGGUACCCGCAGAAGAAGCCCCGGCUAACUUCGUGCCAGCAGCCGCGGUAAUACGAAGGGGGCUAGCGUUACUCGGAAUGACUGGGCGUAAAGGGCGCGUAGGCGGUUUGGACAGUUAGGCGUGAAAUUCCUGGGCUCAACCUGGGGGCUGCGCUUAAUACAUCCAGACUUGAGUGUGGAAGAGGGUCGUGGAAUUCCCAGUGUAGAGAUGAAAUUCGUAGAUAUUGGGAAGAACGCCGGUGGCGAAGGCGGCGACCUGGUCCAUUACUGACGCUGAGGCGCGAAAGCGUGGGGAGCAAACA